GGCGUUGAUAGUGCAAUUGGUUGAGCACGCGUCUCUGGAAAAGAUGAAAUGCGGGUUCGUCCCGUUCGCCU